AGAAGGAUCCUGUUGCAGCGUUGUUCUUCCUGGCCAGUCGAGCGCGCGCAAGAGAUAAUGACUACUAAGAAGGGGGUGUCAGUUAUUUUUCAGAUUAUGCAAUAUGGUAUAAACCACACUCCAGUGAGUGGCCCAAAAGCAGAAGUAUAACUCAGCCUACAUUACAGUUGCUUCUGGUUAUCACAUAUAAGACCCCUAUGAACAUAGUGGAGCUAAAGCCCUGAGGGCCAGCAGAAAGAAUGGAAACAGGCAACCUCGGGAAAGAGGCAGUUGGGGGACACUCUAGAAUGUACAGAGAGGACCAAGUCUUUAAAUAUAGGAGCUUAUGGUGGCCAUUCUCAUUAAAAUUACAAGAGAAAGAGAAGAAAUCAUUAAAUGAGUUGUGGACAGAGGAAACCGGGGAGCCUGAGAUGAAGAGCAGUGAGCAAAGGAGAGAAAGGUGAUUUGAAGGGAAUUAGCUGUGACAACAAAAGCAUAUGAACUAAUACAAGAAUGUAUCAUUUGUAUUCACUCCUUAAUUAUAGCUCAUUAGGAAUUAUAUCAAAUUCCAAGCUUCUAAAGUCUCUCAAGUAUUUUAGUAAUCCAUUGCCAUGUUUGGUAAGUAAAUUUUUCUAGAUGUGCUUAGAUAGAUAAAAUUAAUCAUAAAAAUUAGAGUAUUGCCUAGUAAAUUUUGAAAGAAACACACAAGCAAGUCUACUUAGACUCAAACUAUGAUUAACUUGUCAGCAAUUUACCCAAGGGAAAAGACAAAUGUUAAAACAAGUAAGAGGAAAAUUACGAGACCUGAAUACUUUUAGAAUAUGUAUUCUCUUAUGGCUACACAUGCUUUGAGUACUAAGCACCACAUUUUAUUUUCACAUUUUAUUUAAAUAGGUUUUUAAGAAAUAAUAAACUAUUCCUCAAUGACUUCCUUUUGUAAAAGAAUGACACAUUUUAAUGUUAAACUAUGUAAUGAAUGCUUCAGAAGAAUUCACACAACCCAGAUUCUUCCCUGGUCCUGGAUACCAUGGAUUCAAGAGGCCCUCAGCUGUCAGAUCGCUCAGACUAGUGGAGGACUUCAUGGUAAAAAUAUAUAUGACUCGGGUAGUAUACACACUAAAACACAUGGAAAGCAAGAGAACAGAAUAAAUGUUCAAGUGAGAUCUUACCGUCUUAUAUCUAGACUUAAUUGAUGAGCUAAAGUUAGGGGAUUUUUUUUCCUACAAAUGGUUAAGAUUUUCCCAUGUUUGAAAGUGAUGUCUUUUGCUGGAAAUGAAUCUGAGUGGAAAUAUGCGCAAUAAGUGAAAAAAAUUGGAUGCAGAAAGAUAAAUAUUGCAAAAACAUUAAAAAAAAAGAAUCCAAGUGAAAACAUAAAUAUUUCACUGAAUACUAUGCACAAGAAACUGUUGAUGGUCUGUAAAAUUUAAUACAUUUACUAUGUGGGCUGGUCUUGCAUCAAGAGGAAAAAAAUGUUGUGCAACACUGUUCUACAAAGUAAUACGUUAUUCACACAUAGAUUUUAAAAGGUAAAUUAACAGCAUAUUUUCUUUGAGGAUGAUGUUGUAUUACAGAAAAUAUAAAAGAUACAAAUGAGAUUUCUAAGUCCUUCUUAGAUUCAUCACAUGAAGAAUGACCAUCAUUCCAGCAUUUCUACCAGAGACAUAAAUUCAUUAAAAUCAAUGAACAUAUAUAGUACAUAAAGUCUCAGAACUUAGAGUUUUAUUUAGGCUGUUAUUAAUUUGAGAGGUGUAAUACAAAUUAUAUAUAUACAUAUGUAUGUUCGUGUGUGUGUUGGUUUUUUGAGACAAGGUUUCUCUGUACAGCCCUGGCUGUCCUGGAGCUCGUUCUGUUGAACAGGCUGAACUUAAACUCAGAAAUCUGCCUGCCUCUGCCUCCCGAGUGCUGGGAUUAAAGGUGUGCGCCACCACUGCCUGGCUACAAGUCAUUAUUAUAUCUAUUUCUCCUUUUGGUGUGAAGUAAUAUUUCCUGGCCCUAAGAAUUCACUCUGGUCUAAAAUUCUGAGAUUCUUCAACCAUAAUUAUUGACUUUUCACUGUCUACAUAUUUUUGCCCUUUUUUGACAAUGUAUAACUUAUCGAUAUUGGUGUCUUUAACUCAGAUUAAAAAAACUUACUUCCCACUCUACUCUUUCAGUGAAUAAUAUGUGAUUUACUUUUAGCACUGGUUUAGCAUUACAGUGCUUAGAUUUAUUAUGGUUUAUUUAUUCAUUGCAAGACUGUUGGUGGCUUCCAGAUUUUGGCAAUUAUGAAUAAAGCUGCUCU